AACAAACGAGGACCCAUAAGAGCCCCGGAGUAAGAGGAAGCCCUCCGUCGCCCUGUCGGGCCACCGCGCCGCUCCGCGCUGUCCCCAGGGUUCUCCCAGUUUAAGUGCUGAAUGCAAAGCAGGCAACCGAAAUGCAGAAGUGGCUGGGUCGCCCAAAGAAACUGCCCCUCUCCGGAGAGAGAGGACGCAAAGCUGAGGUCCCCAACGACCUCGGCGCUAGCUCGAACAUCGAAAGAGGCAGGCUUUGCCAGUAGAUCAGAGCUCUACCACACGCCUGGGGAGAAGGAAGGUCUGCAGGGAAGAGUUGGAGGCCCAAAGCCCACUCUUGAGUUCCCAGUGGAUUCUGGGAGAAGAGAGGAAGAAGCAGGAGACAGUCUGAAGGAAAGGUCACAUCCUCCGUGAUUGUGACCUUUGACCAGAGUGAGGAGGAAACAUCUGGGACAGAAAAGCAGAGCCACUGCCUUUGUCACUAGAGGUGGGAUGAGUCACGAGUCACUGUGCAUGAAGCUGUGCCCCACGGUUCCGCUAGGGUCACAGGAAGAGAGACUCUGCAAAAGAAAAUCUAAUGAGUUAUAGAGAAUUAGAGAAGACUCAGCGAGGUCUGCCACUGGACAUGUCUGACACACUAGCAUGGUGGGCUGGCUGGAAAUCUAUUUGCUUGGAAGGUGAAAAAAGUCCUCCUGGGAGAUUAUUUUCAUUCUAAGGAAAGAAGAAACCAUGUUUGGUUUGGUCCAGUAACAAAGUUUUAGUGCCAGAAGGAAGAUGGAAUUCAACUCUGCCCCCAACUUGGCCCUCUGGACACACCAGGGAUCCUAGGAAGAUAGAAACUCUAUGUUACAACUCCAAGAACUCUUUCAUAAACUGCAGAGAGACUCUGGGGCCCAAGCAGCUAUGUGUUGGGGACCCUCCUGCUAAGCAACACUUGAGAGACCUACACUUCAUUCCGCUUCUCCAUUUCAAGGGCUUGGUAUGUUGACACUACCCAGAAAGUAGUAGAUGAAUUGCCACAACAGUCACAGUUACUCCCCUCCCGGCAAAAACUUCACAGUUCCUCCCACAAAAAAGGGGAACCUACUUCCCCACCUUGAAUCUGGGUUGAUACUGUUGCUUUGGCCAACAAUGUAGCAGAAGUCACACUGUACCUUUUCAGACCCUGACCUCAAGAAGCCUUGCAUUCUUCUACCCUCUCCACUGCCACAUGAGUAAGCCUGAGUUAGCCUGCUGGAAGGUGAGAGAGCUCUUGACCCAGAGCCAAGGCAACCCAGCUGUCCCAACUGAGGCCCCCCAGACAUGUGAAAGACCCAACCAAGAUCUGAAAGCCCUCUACCCAAUCCCGAGUUGACCGCUGAUGCAGGAAGAAAUCCAGCUGAAUCUAGUCCAGAUAGCCAACCAGUACAACCCCGAGCUCAAUAGACGGUUGCAUCUUAAGUCACUCAGGUCUGGGUUGUUCCUUAUACAGCAGUGACUGUUAAAGAACUUGAUAAAAAAUGGUAACUCUGGCCACUGAUGGAUGUGUUAACUAAACUUAUUGGUGUAAUUGUUUUGCAAUAUACACAUAUAUCAAAUCA